rnacentral:rRNA from 1 species
GAUGAACGCUGGCGGCGUGCUUAACACAUGCAAGUCGAACGGAAAGGCCCAAGCUUGCUUGGGUACUCGAGUGGCGAACGGGUGAGUAACACGUGGGUGAUCUGCCCUGCACUUCGGGAUAAGCCUGGGAAACUGGGUCUAAUACCGGAUAGGACCACAUUCUGGAUGGUGUGGUGGAAAGUUUUUCGGUGUGGGAUGAGCUCGCGGCCUAUCAGCUUGUUGGUGGGGUAAUGGCCUACCAAGGCGUCGACGGGUAGCCGGCCUGGGAGGGUGUACGGCCACAUUGGGACUGAGAUACGGCCCAGACUCCUACGGGAGGCAGCAGUGGGGAAUAUUGCACAAUGGGCGCAAGCCUGAUGCAGCGACGCCGCGUGGGGGAUGACGGCCUUCGGGUUGUAAACUCCUUUCGCUAGGGACGAAGCGUUAUGUGACGGUACCUGGAGAAGAAGCACCGGCUAACUACGUG